CGUUUUCAGAAGGCAGUUGGUCAAAAAUACACCAAGUGAAUUGUUUCUAGUCCAAUUUAAAGAAGUAUUUUACAUGUACGCUAAUAAUAUGAGAUUGCUUUGUGAUUCUCAACAAUGCCAAAUUCAGUGUUUGGAAUUUCUGCUGUAUUACUUGGAGGAUUUGUUUGACCCACCCAGCAACUAUCAUAAGAUUAUGUUGGUUAAGUGAGGGACAGCAUUUGGCAAGACAGUUGCCUUGUUUACUUAAUUCUACUGUCAGUUACCCCUGUCACACAGGAAGGGUAAUAGG
rnacentral:lncRNA from 1 species